GAGCUCAAAGAUUUGAAUCGCCAGUUUAUUCAUAAAUCAAAGCUUACAGGUUACUUCAUAAGCCUUGUCUUAAGUGUAUUAACAAUAACCUUAAUGGUUAUUUAUGACUGCCACAUAAGUGGGAAACGUGACUUCGGCCCAAAAUACUGCAGACAAACAGCAGGGACACAGACUGAGGAACAAGGUUCUGCUACAAUGGGACAGGAACUACAAGUGUCAGGGAGUUUUGCUACAACGGGACAGCAAGAGUCAUGGAGUUCUGCCUCAAUGAGACAUAAACAACAAGGGGCAGAGGGUUUUGCUGCAGCGGCAUGGCAAUUAGACAGUUCUGAUACAGUGCGACAAGAAAAGAAAGGGUUAGGGAGAUCUGCUCUAGCAGGACAUGGACAACAAAUGUCAGGGAGUUCUGCU